GUACCUUUUUAUCUAUCGAUACGAUGCCAGGCACGUCUUUUAGCUUAUGGUACACAUAGAUGAUCAAUAUUAUAAAGAGAUCGAUGCAAGAAUAAUAUUCCAACUUAUCGGGGGUGAGGGGUUUCGAUGCUAUUCAUGUCAAGCAAUGAAUGUGAGGUAGUAUAACAAGCAAAAAAGACUGAUCACUUGACAAGAGUUUGCAUGGAAACCAACACUGAUACAUAGUAGCUAGCUAUAUACUAAAGGGCCCCCCCCUGGAAAGCUAUUAUUGAUCUCAUUAGGGGCCCAUUUACAGAUAUUUGGACAGACAAAUCUACCGCAGCACGAAAUACACAGAAAAGGACACCAGUGACCAUAUGUGUCGAUCGAUCGAUGAUGUUUUUCCAGCAACAAAGUGAAACCAUUGUCGAAAAGCAUGAAAUUUUUGAAGAUGCUCAAGUUCUAGAAAAGUAAACUAUAUAUGCUCAUAUUAAUUAUUGAUACUUCUAAAUGAUCAAUUUAUCUAGUUAGAUUCUCAUAUAUAAUUUUGAAACAAAUCGAUCGUGCUAUACUCAUCUACCAACUAGUCUUGAGUUCGAUGUUGUGUGGCCAAGAAAUGAUCGAUUUUUUUUUCAGUGAAAAUGUGACUUGUAUUGCUAUCCAAAAUUUACAAAUAUACGACAUAAACAUCUUGGA